rnacentral:rRNA from 1 species
AGUCGAGGGGUAUAGUAGCAAUACUAGAGACCGGCGCACGGGUGCGUAACGCGUAUGCAAUCUACCUUUUGCAGAGGGAUAGCCCAGAGAAAUUUGGAUUAAUACCUCAUAGUAUAACGACUCGGCAUCGAGAUGUUAUUAAAGUCACAACGGCAAAAGAUGAGCAUGCGUCCCAUUAGUUAGUUGGUAAGGUAACGGCUUACCAAGACUACGAUGGGUAGGGGUCCUGAGAGGGAGAUCCCCCACACUGGUACUGAGACACGGACCAGACUCCUACGGGAGGCAGCAGUGAGGAAUAUUGGACAAUGGGCGCAAGCCUGAUCCAGCCAUGCCGCGUGCAGGAUGACGGUCCUAUGGAUUGUAAACUGCUUUUGCACAGAAAGAAACAACGCUACGUGUAGCGUCUUGACGGUACUGUGAGAAUAAGGAUCGGCUAACUCCGUGCCAGCAGCCGCGGUAAUACGGAGGAUCCAAGCGUUAUCCGGAAUCAUUGGGUUUAAAGGGUCCGUAGGCGGUCUUAUAAGUCAGUGGUGAAAUCUCCCCGCUCAACGGGGAAACGGCCAUUGAUACUGUAGGACUUGAAUUAUUAGGAAGUAACUAGAAUAUGUAGUGUAGCGGUGAAAUGCUUAGAGAUUACAUGGAAUACCAAUUGCGAAGGCAGGUUACUACUAAUGGAUUGACGCUGAUGGACGAAAGCGUGGGUAGCGAACAGGAUUAGAUACCCUGGUAGUCCACGCCGUAAACGAUGGAUACUAGCUGUUGGAAGCAAUUUCAGUGGCUAAGCGAAAGUGAUAAGUAUCCCACCUGGG